rnacentral:pre_miRNA from 1 species
GUGGGAUGAGGUAGUAGGUUGUAUAGUUUUAGGGUCACACCCACCGCUGGGAGAUAACUAUACAAUCUACUGUCUUUCCUAA